GGGAUUGAGACAGAUGCAGACCCCGAAGCCCACUCCACACCAGGGUUUGUAGUACAGCGUGUUGCUCCUGGCUUACACACUCGAACAGCGGGUUGCUGUACUCACUACUGCAUGGGUGUGACACAGUGGUCUUAUUUUGGGAAGUUAUAGGAAACCUCUGUUUUGAAAAUCUCCAUUGUUGCAGAAGCACGUCUUUUAUGUCUCCAGACCAACAAGCCUUGCAGUUAAUUUAAUGCCUGCAGUUUAACAGGGAGGGCCUGAAAAAAAGGAUGGGAAAUAUUAUUAGUCAAAUGUUGUCUUUGUCUUGUGCAGAACAUGUAGAAUGUGCUCUUUAGCUUAAUAAACAUGUUUUAAAGAUAGAGAUGCUUUGUUAUUGUAGCUGACA
rnacentral:lncRNA from 1 species